rnacentral:rRNA from 1 species
UACGGAGGAUCCAAGCGUUAUCCGGAUUUAUUGGGUUUAAAGGGUGCGUAGGCGGCUUAUUAAGUCAGUGGUGAAAGCCUGCAGCUUAACUGUAGAACUGCCAUUGAUACUGAUGAGCUUGAAUAUACUUGAGGUGGGCGGAAUGUGUCAUGUAGCGGUGAAAUGCUUAGAUAUGACACAGAACACCGAUUGCGAAGGCAGCUCACUAAGGUAUGAUUGACGCUGAUGCACGAAAGCGUGGGGAGCAAACAGG